CCUGGGUGGACACCCAGUGCUCCGGCGGAAGACGGGUGUCCUCCAGCACUGCUGGGGGAGGGGACAGGCCACUCCAGGAGAGCCCCUGGGUGCCGAAGGCCCCAGCCUGAGCAGCACCAUUGCCACGAGGCCCCGAUCCCUCCCACGGAGUCUGCCCUGGAGACGUGGCCAGGGCUCGGGCCAGAGGCUCCUCACGGCUGAUGUGGGUGAGAAGCUCCCCGCGGUCCUCUGGGUAUGUGACGACCGAGGACAGUGCGGAAAAUCAUGGUGUCUAAAUGAGAUGCCAUUACGGCGCUGUCACCAUCGUGCUCCCGAGGAAUUCUCAGUGAUGUGGGGGACGCUGGGGACAUGUGGGGAGCAAAGGGGACUGAACAGAUGGCGUCCCAGCACGUCAUAGUUCAGAGCAGAGAGGAAGAUGAGCCGCUGGUGACAUCGGCGCUGGUGACGUCAGCCCUGGUGGGUACGGCUAUCUCCUGGGCGUGGUCUUGGGCCUGGGUCACCUCCCUUGGCUCAUUUCACUUCCCAAGGACCCUGCUGACCCAACCUCCAUCCAUCCCAUGUCACAGGUGAGGAAAACGAGGCACAGGGGUAAGUGACCUCUAGGAACUCAUACAACUGCCAGGACGUGAGCCCAGGUCUGGAAGUCCCCAAAGCCCUCUUGGUCCUCUCUGUCCCCACUGGGUCUGUGGGCCGGGGAUGGGGGAGACGGGCGGUGUGUCCCAGGAGCUCCGUGGGAUGGGGUUGUGGAAGGUGGCUUCCUCUCUGGUUGGUGUCAUAGCCAUCGUCUCAUUUUACACAAAGUGGCUUGGGGACCUGCUCAAGGGAAGUGGUGACAGGGUGGACCAGGUCCUGAUGGCACCACCCCUGCACCUACACACUGAAUGGCUGGAUGGGGCUGGAGGGGACAGGCACAGCCCUGGGCCACACCUGGGCGCCCCUGGGGACUUUGCAGAGCUGCUCUGGGACCUGGCACAGAGCCCACCCUGGAGCCCAUCUGCCCAGGUGACCCCGCCCUCCUGGGACAGUCCAGUGACCCCAUUUGGUUGAGUCUAUGCCCCACACUAGGCCCAUCUAUGGUGGCUGGCUGGGGACACGCCACUAGUGGUGGCCUCAGGACUGACUCUGUGCUCAUUAGAGCCACCUGCAUGCACGUCCGCUCACACGCCUGACGAGCCUCGCACAGGCCACCAGUGUCACCUCCUGCCCUGAGCCUGUGACUGUCUCCCUGGCUGCUGUGGGGGAGGGUCAGGGGUCUCCGAAGGGCAGCGCAGGCGGGGCUCACACUGCUUGCCCCUGCCCCUGCCUGCCACCCCUGGUGGCCGGCCCUCCCUCCUGGACCUGGAAGCUCUCACCUAGGCAUGGGCGUGCUGCCCCUGUCCCCUGGAUCCUGUCCCCUGUCCCCUGAAGCCUGGCCCAGCCCUUUUCCCAGCAGGAUCUCCCCCGCGGAGGCCCUCCUCAGAGCUGCUCACAGGCCUGCACUCCAGGCCAUCAGGGGACUCGGGGCCACCUCAGGGGACUCCGGGCCACAUCAGGGGACUCUGGGCCGUUGCUGACGAGGCCCAUGGCCCCUCUCCACAGUUCUGGGGGGUCUCAGGAAACAGGGAAACUGAGUCUCAGAGAUGACUGGGUCUCCCCCACCUCUCCUGACCCCCACCCAGCAGACAGGAGGGCCGUGGGGGCUGGGCCUGGGGGUCUGAGGGCAGAUACCCCACCAGGCCUCGGGGAGACCCAGCAGCAGGCAGCUGCCCAGUCCACCUCUGUGCCAUCCCUCUGCCCUGGAGGAGUGCACGCCCCGCCACCCCGCGGCCGCUAUCCCACCCAGGGACAGCGUGGACUCCGCCAAACCCCCCGCCCAGCCACCGGAGCCUACCCGUCAUUCAUUCAUAUUACGUGCCCACCGCGGGUGCCAGGCCCUGGCCGCCCAGCAGCAGAUGGGUCAGUGCGACUCUGUGGAGCUGAAGUUUCAGCAAAGAGAGAGAAAGGUUCCAGCCAGUUAGAGGGAGCAGGGGGCAGUGAAGGGACAGGGCAUGGGCGGCGGGUGCUGGGAAGGUGACCUGGGUCUCUCUGGCCACUGCUUUCCCCGACACACCAACCCCACCAGGACCUGUCUCCCCGGCCAGCAGGUGGGGGCUGCUGGGAUUGCCUGCCCUGGGGCAGGGGAUGCCCAGAAGCCGGGCCCUGCCUCCCCCUCCCCUGACCACAAGCUGAGCAUUUUAAAGUUAAUUGGUUUUGCAAUUAAAGGGCGAGAGAACAGCUGGUGCGAUUAAUUGUACAGGAGCGUGUUCUGGAAUGCAGAGUUCCGCAGCCCCUCCCUAAGGGAAGCCGAGGUCAUUUCCAGGUGGCGCCUGCCCCACCGUCAGGGAGGCCUCUGCUCAGGGGAGGCAUGUCGGGACCACGGAGCUGGCUCACAGGAACGCAGGAGGAAAACCUGUCCUCGCUCGGCUCCACGACCCGAUCAGCUUCCUGGGAGGAAGCAUCUUCUCGCCUUCUGUGCUUUGGAGCUUGAACGGAUACGGCCCAGGGUUCACGGAUCUGCACCCCAUUAACAACUGAUGGAAGGUUUGAAUUCAUUGGCCACAGACAGGGGCAAAGUCCACCAGGGCCAAGGGUCCUGUGGCCAGGCUGAGGUGAGAUCGCACAAUGGAGAAAGUUCUAGAAAGGAAGCAUCCACUCCACAGACAUCUACCGUCCAUGGCUUUCACGGGGUCUGCCUGGGCCGGGGUUCUAGCCCCAGCCUUCACGCGGGCAGCCCUCCGUUUAUCCGUUCUGCCCUCUCCCUGGCCAUUUAGGGAGGUCUUUUAAGAGGCCAGCCUCACCAGAAGCCUGUCACGGUUCCGAGUUCCUAAAAGUGCCUUAGCCUGGCAUUCGAGCCCUUCAGGAUGAGACCUGGCCUCUCUCUGCCUCUUGUGUCCUUCCAAUUCCGUCCUUGGCUCGGGAAGCCCAGAGGCCUCAUCCGGGCUUCCAGAGUUGAGUUCUCUCUCAGGCGGGCAGCCCUUUCCCAUCGCGUGCUGUGCCCCUGGAUCCACUCUCCAUGGCCACAGUGGGGCCGACUCCCUGACCCAGAGAGCCUUCUUGGCUAAUGCCAAAGCACGUUCCUUGGUCACUUCUCUGGGGCAGCUGGGUUGGCUGCUGACCUCUGCUGGCCUCACUCCAUGCCUGGGCGUCCCAGGGUUGCUGGCCGAUGGAGCUGACCUUGGCUGGGGUGACCGAGCCCCCUGGCCCUGGUCCAUGUCUCUCACCCUCUAGACGGUGGUGGCCAGUGUUCCUGCCAGAGCCGGCCUGAUCUGCGCUCCGUGGUGUCCCAUCUAGGAACAGCCCACAGCCCAAGCCAGCCCUGGGAGGCCCUGAGGCUAGGGGCAGGACCAGGUUGUAGAGCUCCGUGGACAGUGGGGGAGGCCCCAGGGCCAACGGUGCCCUGUACCUGGUGCAGGGUGCACACGUGGUUCAGACCUCCCAGAACGCUGCGAGCUUAACGUCGGAAAGGCCUUGGCAGCCGACCAUGGACACACAGUCAGCUGUAAACUGCUGAACACACCAACUCGAUGAGUUUUAUUUAUAUAAACACCAUCACAUCACAGUCUGGGUCAUGCCUAUCACCCCAGAAUUUCAUCUAAUGGACUCGCACAGUGUGGCCCCGGAUGCGUCUGGCUCUUGGGCUCGGCCUUCUUAACUGGGCCCCCCUCGCUGCCGUCCACACCCCGCCUCGUUCCCGUUAUUGUGGAGGAGUGAGUGACCGUGUGGUCAUCGUGGAUUCAUUCACCUGUCGAUGGGGAUUCAGAGUGUUUCCAGUUUAUUUUCAAUAAAGCUGCUGUCAACACUG